CCCGGUUGUAGAUUUCACUGCUCAAUGAAGCCAAACGAAUCACAUUUAAUCACAUUUUCUCGAAUGAAGAUUUUUGGAGCCGUUAUUUGUUUAGCCAGUGGCCUCUUCUCAGACUUGGCCCCUGUUCCAACGGGCUGACUGAUCCUGUGUUUUUGACCUAACCGGCCUCUGGUGAUUUUUGUUUUCUUCUGUUUGCUUGGUUUGGUGUAAUAAUCUACUCGGAAUAUACACGUGGUACUAAACCACCUGAAAUAUGUGUAGCUGAAAGAUGAGUACGUACUCAUGUAGCUUUUGUUUUCCUAUAAGUAUAUAUUCAACAACAUGCUCGGGACUUAAUCCACACAAGCAGUUUGGGUGAAGAAAAGGUGAAAGUUAAUUAGAAUCAAAAUGGGUUUCCUAAUUUCUGCUAAUGGUAUCAAAUAACAAUGAUGCUAUGAAAGCCUGUCAUGUGACUUUAGUCACAGAGCCAAACCGCUCUAGUUCCACUUCACUUGAGAGGGAAUCUUCUGUUUGUCAGCAGUGCACAUUGUUAAUGGUGACUUGAUCGAGCUGUAGUGGCACCCGAGUCCAACCCGCUUAAAUUUAGUCUCAGGUGGAGCACUUUGGUGGGUGUGGGAUUGACUCGGGAUUCAUGAAUGUGACUGAUCGGCGACCGGAGGUCCUCGUGAUUUCAUUGAUGUCCGUUAGACGUCAACUUUUCAUAACCCAAGAAGAGCCCUCUUUCCAGCUUGUGACAACACACGAUCAUCCAAAUAGUGUCCGUAGCUCAAGGAGAGGAGGAUGUUCUCAAGCCAGCUCAUCUAAGGUUGUUUUACAAGUUAAAAUAAGACCACAUAUUAUACUUUACACGCUACUAGCUCAAUAUUCCUGUCCAUCACAUGACGCGUUUCCAAGCUCGUAGGAACAAAUGUAAUCACCCGAUCUUUGUGAGAUGAUAAAACCAGUGCAGGUAGACUGAACUGAAUUGUAAACUGCACGAGGUAACUGCAGGGUAAUCUGUUUUCCAGGUAGAGAUGUUGUAUAAAUGUACUGUAUCUUUCCACCUACAAGGAGAGCCAGGCAAUAAAAUAGCCUUGGCUGAUUGUGUCUUAGACAAAACAUUUAUAGCUCUGAAGUUCAAAGAGUAUUUUUCUGCUGACACAGCAUGAAUAUAAAGAUACAUUUUCAGAUUUAAAAUUCUAGCCAGAGAAACACAACAUUUUUAGAUUUACAAGUGGGAAGGCAUAAUUGCCAUGACCAAACACAGGCAUCCGCAUGCAUACGUGGUUCAUGAGUAGAAGCAGAGGGCAAGGCUUGAGUAAAGCGGGCCGGCUCAAUAAAGGUUUGUCAGUGGGGAAUCUGUUUGGAAUUUAUGGGCCUUCCUGUUAUAACAACAAUAAUGGACCUGCCCUGUUUUACCAAUUUGCGUGGAUACAAAUACGUGUUUCCGCACACACGCCUUUUGACUUCCAUGACGAAACCCUGAGCCCUGAGCUGGAAACUGUUUCCACUAAAGAAAAUGGUGGACCAACCAACCAACGGACUGACCAAAAAGUGUGUAAUUGAUGUCAAGAUGUGGGAUGUUUGUCUCCUCUUCAGGUCCGUGGUUUGUUUUUUCUGACUCUGUUUCGCCACAGAGCUCUAAUAUUGGCAAUGGACAACAUUCCCGUUCUGAAGAUCUUCCUGGGCAUCCCUGGGUUUCGGCCUCUCCAUCAUGUUCUGCACGACCUUCUGCAGGGUGUGCAGUCGCUUCAGAGAGGAGCAGAUCAACAGGGAGGCGUUGAGACGCAGUGAGCAGGAAACUCGCCCUCCUCCCAUUUAUUUCAUCCCCUUCCAUGGAAGCAUGUCACGGCAGGACAGCGAAGACCAGGACAGAGGGCCUCGCAUCAGCCUGGAGCUCCACACACCACCUCGAUACAGCAACGUCGUCUUCUGUGGGCCUCCACCUUCCUACAAUGAGCUGGGAUUGAAGCCUGACGAUCUCCCGCCCGCUUACACCGAGUACAACGUCCCCGUGUAUCAAAUCGCACCCCCGCCCCCCACGGACAGGAGUCAGCCACAAACACAGUGACAGGAAUGAUUCAGGACCGUCACACUGGGCCUGGGACAGCGGUCACGCACAGCCUUGAACGGCCUCGUGGACUCCAGUGAGCUGACGCUGGCAAUGUCUCAAAGGUUGUUUUGGUAAUGAACGUGAUGAUGGCGCUGCAGAAAUGGCAGCAGGUUCACCGCUACGAUGCCACGAGGACAGCACACUCUCAGAGACACUACUCCCGGGCAUGUUGAUUGUUGACACGGGAUCGGAAUGCAUUCUUCCCUCCUGUUAUUAUCAUCUCCAACCAGGAGCAUCUGCUUUCGGUUUGUUUGCAUGUCCGUCAUUGAUUGCUUUUCAGGAUCUCUAAAAUCACUUUAAAGGUAUUAAUGAAAUAUGUGUAAAUUCAAUAGGGCCACUAUGUGGCCAUUUAUAAUGCACUUUGUUUUGUCUCGUGUCCCCUAAAUGAUGAGGCGUGUCCCCCGACAUGUAUUAGCGACUGCACAGAACCUAAAUUAAAAUGAUUUUUUUCACUUUUACCACUUCUUUUAAUGCAUUUGAAUGUUUGUUGUUGUUGUUGUUGUUGUUGUUUGUUGUUAAACUCAAAUAUUCCUAGACAGAAUUCAUACCUCAUGAAUACCAUCUACUUAGGAUCACAGUAUACCGUGUGUAUUUAUUGUAGAUAUGAUUCAAACAUCUAAAUGUACAACAAGUGUUUAGUCUUAGUCUCAUUAUGUGCUAAGUAUAUACUAUAAUAAGAGUAGCAACCUUGAUACAAAACCAGAGACUCUGUGAAUGAAGUCAUUGUUUUUACAUGUGGUAACUGUUUUCUUUGACUGAAUGAUGCUUUUAAAUCAAAUAGGAACACCUCUCCAAAGGAACAGCUGGUUAUGAUGUCAUUGCACAUGACGUUGGCUGUAGAUUGGCUUGAUUUAAUAUUGCUGUCAUUGCGUGUUAAAUGUCAUGUUAUUACCUGAUAUCUGAAAGCAGUCUUUUUAAGGUCAGAAGUCUGUACUUACCAUACCUAAACAAUGACCUUGUGUACAUUUAUUAAAUAGCCAUAAUGAAAUGUUGAAAUUUGAGGACAACAAGUGAAUUAUAUAAAUAUAGAGGCGGGUCAGGAAAGAAGAAUAUAAUAAAUAUUGGCUGAUUAAAUCUAUAUAUAUAUAUACUUAAUGUUAUACCAUAUUUCUAUGUACACAUAAUGAUAGUUCUGAUAAUAAAUCAAUUCAGCGCUGUAACUGA